rnacentral:pre_miRNA from 7 species
GUCUAAGAAAGGAUGCCUCAGUCCCACUGAAAGAACCUAGUGGGGAAACCCCCACUCAACUCCUGAUUAGGUGUGCACCCAAGAAUCACAAACAGAAUA